rnacentral:rRNA from 1 species
UUUAGGUAGCGCCUCGUGAAUUCAUCUCCGGGGGUAGAGCACUGUUUCGGCAAGGGGGUCAUCCCGACUUACCAACCCGAUGCAAACUGCGAAUACCGGAGAAUGUUAUCACGGGAGACACACGGCGGGUGCUAACGUCCGUCGUGAAGAGGGAAACAACCCAGACCGCCAGCUAAGGUCCCAAAGUCAUGGUUAAGUGGGAAACGAUGUGGGAAGGCCCAGACAGCCAGGAUGUUGGCUUAGAAGCAGCCAUCAUUUAAAGAAAGCGUAAUAGCUCACUGGUCGAGUCGGCCUGCGCGGAAGAUGUAACGGGGCUAAACCAUGCACCGAAGCUGCGGCAGCGACGCUGAUGCGUUGUUGGGUA